AUUGAACGCUGGCGGCAGGCUUAACACAUGCAAGUCGAGCGAGCGGCGGACGGGUGAGUAAUGUCUGGGAAACUGCCUGAUGGAGGGGGAUAACUACUGGAAACGGUGGCUAAUACCGCAUACUAUCGGAUGUGCCCAGAUGGGAUUAGCUAGUAGGUGGGGUAAUGGCUCACCUAGGCGACGAUCCCUAGCUGGUCUGAGAGGAUGACCAGCCACACUGGAACUGAGACACGGCCCAGACUCCUACGGGAGGCAGCAGGGGGGAAUAUUGCACAAUGGGCGCAAGCCUGAUGCAGCCAUGCCGCGUGUGUGAAGAAGGCCUUCGGGUUGUAAAGCACUUUCAGCGAGGAGGCGUUACUCGCAGAAGAAGCACCGGCUAACUCCGUGCCAGCAGCCGCGGUAAUUC
rnacentral:rRNA from 1 species